CGGAGCGUGGUGGAACAGGCAGUCGCGCCAGUUUCAGAGGCUGGUGGGCACAGGCCCGUGCGGGUUCGAGUCCCGCCGCCCCGA
rnacentral:tRNA from 1 species